rnacentral:rRNA from 1 species
GACGAACGCUGGCGGCGUGCUUAACACAUGCAAGUCGAACGGAAAGGCCCUGCUUUUGUGGGGUGCUCGAGUGGCGAACGGGUGAGUAACACGUGAGUAACCUGCCCUUGACUUUGGGAUAACUUCAGGAAACUGGGGCUAUUACCGGAAGGAGGCUCCUGCUCCAUGUGGGGGGUGGAAAGGUUCGGCGGUUGGGGAUGGACUCGCGGCUUAUCAGCUUGUUGGUGGGGUAGUGGCUUACCAAGGCUUUGACGGGUAGCCGGCCUGAGAGGGUGACCGGCCACAUUGGGACUGAGAUACGGCCCAGACUCCUACGGGAGGCAGCAGUGGGGAAUAUUGCACAAUGGGCGGAAGCCUGAUGCAGCAACGCCGCGUGCGGGAUGACGGCCUUCGGGUUGUAAACCGCUUUCGCCUGUGACGAAGCGUGAGUGACGGUAAUGGGUAAAGAAGCACCGGCUAACUACGUG